GACGAACGCUGGCGGCGUGCUUAACACAUGCAAGUCGAACGGAAAGGCCCUGCUUUUGUGGGGUGCUCGAGUGGCGAACGGGUGAGUAACACGUGAGUAACCUGCCCUUGACUUUGGGAUAACUUCAGGAAACUGGGGCUAAUACCGGAUAGGAGCUCCUGCUGCAUGGUGGGGGUUGGAAAGUUUCGGCGGUGGGGGAUGGACUCGCGGCUUAUCAGCUUGUUGGUGGGGUAGUGGCUUACCAGGGCUUUGACGGGUAGCCGGCCUGAGAGGGUGACCGGCCACAUUGGGACUGAGAUACGGCCCAGACUCCUACGGGAGGCAGCAGUGGGGAAUAUUGCACAAUGGGCGGAAGCCUGAUGCAGCAACGCCGCGUGCGGGAUGACGGCCUUCGGGUUGUAAACCGCUUUCGCCUGUGACGAAGCGUGAGUGACGGUAAUGGGUAAAGAAGCACCGGCUAACUACGUG
rnacentral:rRNA from 1 species